ACAGUACAAACUGAGCAGGCAAUACUAUUCGAAACAUGGAAUGGUAUGUGGCCGGGUCGUGAAUACGACAGCAGAGACAGUAGUCAGCGCAUCUGCGGGACAGU
rnacentral:ncRNA from 1 species